rnacentral:rRNA from 1 species
GACGAACGCUGGCGGCGUGCUUAACACAUGCAAGUCGAACGGAAAGGCCCUGCUUUUGUGAGGUGCUCGAGUGGCGAACGGGUGAGUAACACGUGAGUAACCUGCCCUUGACUUUGGGAUAACUUCAGGAAACUGGGGCUAAUACCGGAUAGGAGCUCCUGCUGCAUGGUGGGGGUUGGAAAGUUUCGGCGGUUGGGGAUGGACUCGCGGCUUAUCAGCUUGUUGGUGGGGUAGUGGCUUACCAAGGCUUUGACGGGUAGCCGGCCUGAGAGGGUGACCGGCCACAUUGGGACUGAGAUACGGCCCGGACUCCUACGGGAGGCAGCAGUGGGGAAUAUUGCACAAUGGGCGGAAGCCUGAUGCAGCAACGCCGCGUGCGGGAUGACGGCCUUCGGGUUGUAAACCGCUUUCGCCUGUGACGAAGCGUGAGUGACGGUAAUGGGUAAAGAAGCACCGGCUAACUACGUG